CCUACGGGGGGCUGCAGUGAGGAAUCUUGGUCAAUGGGCGAGAGCCUGAACCAGCCAAGUCGCGUGAGGGAGUACUGCCCUAUGGGUUGUAAACCUCUUUUGUCGGGGAGCAAAAGCCGGACGUGUCCGGCUGUGAGAGUACCCGAAGAAAAAGCAUCGGCUAACUCCGUGCCAGCAGCCGCGGUAAUACGGAGCAUGCGAGCGUUAUCCGGAUUUAUUGGGUUUAAGGGGUGCGCAGGCGGAUUUUUAAGUCAGCGGUAAAAUCGUGGGGCUCAACCCCAUCCAGCCGUUGAAACUGGGGAUCUAGAGUGUGCGAGAGGUAUGCGGAAUGCGUGGUGUAGCGGUGAAAUGCAUAGAUAUCACGCAGAACACCGAUUGCGAAGGCAGCAUACCGGUGCACAACUGACGCUCAGGCACGAAAGCGUGGGUAUCGAACAGGAUUAGAUACCCUUGUAGUC
rnacentral:rRNA from 1 species